UACGUAGGUGGCAAGCGUUGUCCGGAAUUAUUGGGCGUAAAGCGCGCGCAGGUGGUUCCUUAAGUCUGAUGUGAAAGCCCACGGCUCAACCGUGGAGGGUCAUUGGAAACUGGGGAACUUGAGUGCAGAAGAGGAAAGUGGAAUUCCAAGUGUAGCGGUGAAAUGCGUAGAGAUUUGGAGGAACACCAGUGGCGAAGGCGGCUUUCUGGUCUGUAACUGACACUGAGGCGCGAAAGCGUGGGGAGCAAACAGG
rnacentral:rRNA from 1 species